rnacentral:rRNA from 1 species
AUUGAACGCUGGCGGCAGGCCUAACACAUGCAAGUCGAACGGUAACAGGAAACAGCUUGCUGUUUCGCUGACGAGUGGCGGACGGGUGAGUAAUGUCUGGGAAACUGCCUGAUGGAGGGGGAUAACUACUGGAAACGGUAGCUAAUACCGCAUAACGUCGCAAGACCAAAGAGGGGGACCCUCGGGCCUCUUGCCAUCGGAUGUGCCCAGAUGGGAUUAGCUUGUUGGUGGGGUAACGGCUCACCAAGGCGACGAUCCCUAGCUGGUCUGAGAGGAUGACCAGCCACACUGGAACUGAGACACGGUCCAGACUCCUACGGGAGGCAGCAGUGGGGAAUAUUGCACAAUGGGCGCAAGCCUGAUGCAGCCAUGCCGCGUGUAUGAAGAAGGCCUUCGGAUUGUAAAGUACUUUCAGCGGGGAGGAAGGGAGUAAAGUUAAUACCUUUGCUCAUUGACGUUACCCGCAGAAGAAGCACCGGCUAACUCCGUG